rnacentral:misc_RNA from 1 species
CAAUAAGAGUGUUUAUGGCACUCUUUCAAAAAAUCCAUACCCACCUUGUGUGCAAUGUAAAAAAAAAAGGAGUUUUCUUGUGGUUUGGGAGUGAGAGUUGUUUUACAACGCUCAUUUUUUUUUUUCCUCAAGAGACACUUUUUUUUUCAUUUCAUAUACACCUUUCUAUAAGUUUCCUAUUGUCUGAAGUACUUGGAAUAAAUAUAAUUCUAAAAUA